GUCGCUCCCCAAGUAUAUACUCCGUCGCACCUGGCCUCUGCCCUCGGCCCUCAGCGCAGCCAAACAGGACAUAUCUCCAGAAACCCGGAGGGCACAAGCCCAGCUGUUGGCCAUUCAGAGCGCAGCCUAAAUGGGAGCACCUGCUUCAGUACGACGUCCCUAACCGCCAAGGGCUCAUCAAGAUCCUGCCUUGAUUCAUCGGAUCUGUGCAAGAUUAGCAAAUGUCUACCCUAAUUUUAGACCCACUCCUAAAAACUCACUCUUGGGAGCUAUGUUUGGAAUGGGGACCCUCUUCCUCUGGUAUUAUGUUUUCAAAAAACUUAUCCAAGAAGGAAAAUUGGAUCAAACGUUUAACAUCUCAUAUUAA
rnacentral:lncRNA from 1 species